CCUACGGGAGGCAGCAGUGGGGAAUUUUGGACAAUGGGCGAAAGCCUGAUCCAGCCAUGCCGCGUGAGUGAAGAAGGCCUUCGGGUUGUAAAGCUCUUUCAGCCGGAAAGAAAUCGCGCAGGCUAAUACUCUGCGUGGAUGACGGUACCGGAAGAAGAAGCACCGGCUAACUACGUGCCAGCAGCCGCGGUAAUACGUAGGGUGCGAGCGUUAAUCGGAAUUACUGGGCGUAAAGCGUGCGCAGGCGGUUAUAUAAGACAGAUGUGAAAUCCCCGGGCUCAACCUGGGAACUGCGUUUGUGACUGUAUGACUAGAGUACGGCAGAGGGAGGUGGAAUUCCGCGUGUAGCAGUGAAAUGCGUAGAUAUGCGGAGGAACACCGAUGGCGAAGGCAGCCUCCUGGGCCAGUACUGACGCUCAUGCACGAACGACGGUGGGGUAGGACGAACGAAGGAGUAGUACUACCGUACGGUACGUACCGACCGACCCGUAACCGUACUAGUCUAACUAGUUGUUCGGUUGGUAGGAGACGU
rnacentral:rRNA from 1 species